rnacentral:rRNA from 1 species
CACGGGGGAGAGCAAGCGUUGUUCGGAAUCACUGGGCGUAAAGGACGUGUAGGCGGUCAAGUAAGUGGAAUGUGAAAUGCCCCGGCUCACCCGGGGACCUGCAUCCCAAACUGCUUGGCUUGAGUAUGGGAGAGGAUGAGGGAAUUCCUGGUGUAGCGGUGAAAUGCGUAGAUAUCAGGAGGAACACCGGUGGCGAAGGCGGGUCUCUGGACAGUUCCUGACGGCUGAGGCACGAAGGUCCAGGGGAGCAAACGGG